UACGUAGGGGGCAAGCGUUGUCCGGAUUUAUUGGGCGUAAAGCGCUCGCAGGUGGUUCGAUGCGUCGUGCGUGAAAGACCCCGGCUCAACUGGGGGGUGUCGUGCGAUACGGUCGGACUGGAGUCCAGUAGGGGGAUGCGGAAUUCCGGGUGUAGUGGUGGAAUGCGUAGAGAUCCGGAGGAACACCAGCGGCGAAGGCGGCAUCCUGGACUGGUCCUGACACUCAUGAGCGAAAGCGUGGGGAGCGAUCCGG
rnacentral:rRNA from 1 species